rnacentral:lncRNA from 1 species
UUUGAUUGAAAUCCAGUGUCUAAACCUAUGCAAUACACCAACCACUCCAUUUUAGAAUGAACCUCGAAACGAACCUGAAUUGUCCGAUUUCAUGGACCAAUCGAUAUCGGAUUGAGUCCAAAACUAGGGGAACAACAUAACAUUGUGGGAGGAGUCAUUUGGUGGGUUUUGAUUGAAAUCCAAUCUCUAGAACUGUACAAUACACCAAC